AACUGAUACUACCUGCGGGAACCUGCGGAGGGAUCAUUACUGGGUUAAAGGGUUUCGACCCACCACCCGCCCUCUGUCAUACGCAAUAAUCUUUUCGGCCUCGUCGGUCUUUCGAGACCACAGGUCGGCAUUGCAAACUUUCAAGAAAUUUGAAGUCUGAAAUAAAUAUCAAAUGAUAAAAACUUUUAACAAUGGAUCUCU
rnacentral:misc_RNA from 1 species